AAAAAUAAUCCAUUUUCUAUGUUUGGUAUAAUCUGGAAGUGUGCAUGAAAAAAUAAAUUUUAAAAUCAAGUUUCCCAGAGCAACAGACUCUAAAGUUGUCUAGUGUAACAUCAGCGGUGAAAUGCUGCCACUUGAAAUGAUAAUGCACAGUUGUUAGGACAGGUCACGGACGAAUGGCUGCCAGCAGCGGGAUAGCCACCCCUGCCCUCUUUUCUAGCACGGUGGCUGCAUAAGCUCUACAGUCCCACAUGUUGAAGGGCCCAGUGCUCCGUGAAUGAUCUAGUGCCACCUUCAGAUCCAUAAUGACCUUUGCGCAAGCGCCUCGUGUUUGUUUCCAUUUUGCAGAGGUUUCUGAGAAGCCACUGUCUUAGUUGCUUUCCCAUUGCUGGGACCAAACACCCCGUGCCUACCACUUAUAGGAAGAGAAGUUUACUAGGCCAUUUCCAGGGCUUCAGUCUGUGGUUGGCUGACUCCAAGAUAGAAACAGUAUGGGUGGGCCUGGAGGAAGCCAACAGCUCAACCCAUGGCAUCCAGGAAGCAGAGGGCGAAGGGAGGAUCAGGGAAAAGAAUACAGCUUUCCAGCUAAGGCCCGCGUUGCUGGCCUCCAACCUGACCCCACCUUCUGCAGCACAUUCAGCUACUGAGCUCAGCCAAUGAACCCACCAGCUGGCCUCAAACUCCUCAGCUUGAUCCUCCUG